GGAUAUGAAGGCAAUCUGGUUGCGACAUCUGUUACCCCACUGAUCACCAUGGUUGAUUCGGCUGAUCUGGCUGGCUAGGCCAGUGUCCCCUUCCUCCCUCACCGCUCCAUGUGCGUCCCUCCCGAAGCUGCGUGCUCGGUCGAAGAGGACCACCAUCCCCAAUAGAAGAGGACCGGUCUUCGGUCAAGAUUAUACAAGUAGCUGCGCUCCCCUGCUAGAACCUCCAAACAAGCUCUCAAGGUCCAAAGUCAAGAUAUGGAAUCAGCUCAGAUACACCUCAAUGGAUGAAUGGAUCAAGAAAAUGUUG
ensembl:misc_RNA 7SK 7SK RNA